GUGCUCGCUUUAGUAGCACAUUUACUAAAAUUGGAACCAUUCAGAGAUUAGCGUGGCCCGUUUGCAAGGAUAACAGGCAAAUUCAUGAAAUGUUCCACAUUAAA
ensembl:snRNA U6 U6 spliceosomal RNA